CCUACGGGUGGCAGCAGUCGAGAAUCAUUCACAAUGGGGGAAACCCUGAUGGUGCGACGCCGCGUGGGGGAAUGAAGGUCUUCGGAUUGUAAACCCCUGUCAUGUGGGAGCAAAUUAAAAAGAUAGUACCACAAGAGGAAGAGACGGCUAACUCUGUGCCAGCAGCCGCGGUAAUACAGAGGUCUCAAGCGUUGUUCGGAAUCACUGGGCGUAAAGCGUGCGUAGGCUGUUUCGUAAGUCGUGUGUGAAAGGCGCGGGCUCAACCCGCGGACGGCACAUGAUACUGCGAGACUAGAGUAAGGGAGGGGGAACCGGAAUUCUCGGUGUAGCAGUGAAAUGCGUAGAUAUCGAGAAGAACACGCGUGGCGAAGGCGGGUUCCUGGACAUUAACUGACGCUGAGGCACGAAGGCCAGGGGAGCGAAAGGGAUUAGAUACCCUAGUAGUC
rnacentral:rRNA from 1 species